UCUAUCAAAGGAGAAUAGUUACCCCNNGCUGGUCUUUAGCACCACAACU
rnacentral:tRNA from 1 species